rnacentral:misc_RNA from 1 species
GAUGAAGAACGUAGCGAAAUGCGAUAAGUAAUGUGAAUUGCAGAAUUCAGUGAAUCAUCGAAUCUUUGAACGCACAUUGCGCCCGCUAGUAUUCUGGCGGGCAUGCCUGUUCGAGCGUCAUUUCAACCAUCAAGCCCUAGGCUUGCGUUGGAGCCCUGCGGCUGCCGCAGGCUCCCAAAUCCAGUGGCGGGCUCGUCGUCGUACCGAGUGCAGUAAACAUCCUCGCUCAGGGAACGUGACGGGUUCUUGCCGUGAAACCCCCCACAUAUCAAGGUUGACCUCGGAUCAGGUAGGAAUACCCGCUGAACUUAAGCAUAUCAUAAGCGGAGGA